GUGGCAGACGGGUGAGUAAUGUAUAGGAAUCUACCUAGUAGUACGGAAUAAUUGUUGGAAACGGCAACUAAUACCGUAUACGCCCUACGGGGGAAAAAUUUAUUGCUAUUAGAUGAGCCUAUAUUAGAUUAGUUAGUUGGUGAGGUAAAGGCUUACCAAGACAAUGAUCUAUAGCUGAUCUGAGAGGAUGAUCAGCCACACUGGAACUGAGAUACGGUCCAGACUCCUACGGGAGGCAGCAGUGGGGAAUAUUGGACAAUGGGCGAAAGCCUGAUCCAGCCAUGCCGCAUGAGUGAAGAAGGCCUUCGGGUUGUAAAGCUCUUUUAGUGAGGAAGAUAAUGACGGUACUCACAGAAGAAGUCCUGGCUAACUCCGUGCCAGCAGCCGCGGUAAUACGGAGAGGGCUAGCGUUAUUCGGAAUCAUUGGGCGUAAAGGGCGCGUAGGCGGGUUAGUAAGUUAAAAGUGAAAUCCCAAGGCUCAACCUUGGAACUGCUUUUAAAACUGCUAGUCUAGAGAUUGAAAGAGGAUAGAGGAAUUCCUAGUGUAGAGAUGAAAUUCGUAAAUAUUAGGAGGAACACCAGUGGCGAAGGCGUCUAUCUGGUUCAAAUCUGACGCUGANGCGCGAANGCGUGGGGAGCAAACAGGAUUAGAUACCCUGGUAGUCCACGCUGUAAACGAUGAAUGUUAAAUAUGGGAAGUUUACUUUCUGUAUUAUAGCUAACGCGUUAAACAUUCCGCCNGGGGACUAC
rnacentral:rRNA from 2 species